rnacentral:rRNA from 1 species
UACGUAGGUGGCAAGCGUUAUCCGGAUUUAUUGGGCGUAAAGGGAACGCAGGCGGUCUUUUAAGUCUGAUGUGAAAACCACGGGCUCAACCUGUGGCCUGCAUUUGAAACUGUAGUUCUUGAGUACUGGAGAGGCAGACGGAAUUCCUAGUGUAGCGGUGAAAUGCGUAGAUAUUAGGAGGAACACCAGUGGCGAAGGCGGUCUGCUGGACAGCAACUGACGCUGAGGCGCGAAAGCGUGGGGAGCAAACAGG